rnacentral:rRNA from 1 species
GGAGGGAGAUGAGCGGAAAAAGGAGGUACUGCAGUCGACGGAGCACCCCUGAAGGAGUUUUCGGACACGGAUGGGAAUGCUUAGUGGCGGACUGGUGAGUAACGCGUGAGGAACCUGCCUUCCAGAGGGGGACAACAGAUGGAAACGACUGCUAAUACCGCAUGAUGCGUUGGAGCCGCAUGACUCCGACGCCAAAGAUUUAUCGCUGGAAGAUGGCCUCGCGUCUGAUUAGCUAGUUGGUGAGGUAACGGCCCACCAAGGCGACGAUCAGUAGCCGGACUGAGAGGUUGGCCGGCCACAUUGGGACUGAGAUACGGCCCAGACUCCUACGGGAGGCAGCAGUGGGGAAUAUUGGGCAAUGGACGCAAGUCUGACCCAGCAACGCCGCGUGAAGGAAGAAGGCUUUCGGGUUGUAAACUUCUUUUAAGGGGGAAGAGCAGAAGACGGUACCCCUUGAAUAAGCCACGGCUAACUACGUGCCAGCAGCCGCGGUAAUACGUAGGUGGCAAGCGUUGUCCGGAUUUGCUGGGUGUAAAGGGCGUGCAGCCGGAGAGACAAGUCAGAUGUGAAAUCCACGGGCUCAACCCGUGAACUGCAUUUGAAACUGUUUCCCUUGAGUGUCGGAGAGGUAAUCGGAAUUCCUUGUGUAGCGGUGAAAUGCGUAGAUAUAAGGAAGAACACCAGUGGCGAAGGCGGAUUACUGGACGAUAACUGACGGUGAGGCGCGAAAGCGUGGGGAGCAAACAGGAU